UGGGGAAUUUUCCGCAAUGGGCGAAAGCCUGACGGAGUGACGCCGCGUGUGGGACGAAGGCCUUCGGGUCGUAAACCACUGUCAGUGGGAAAGAUGGGUGCCGGCGCGAUAACCGCCGGUAUCUGACGGUACCUGCAGAGGAAGCCCCGGCCAACUCUGUGCCAGCAGCCGCGGUAAGACAGAGGGGGCAAGCGUUGCUCGGAAUUACUGGGCGUAAAGGGCGCGUAGGCGGAAUGGCAAGUCGGUCGUGAAAUCCUUCGGCUCAACCGAAGAACGUCGAUCGAAACUGCCGUUCUUGAGGAUUGCAGAGGAGACUGGAAUUCCCGGUGUAGCGGUGAAAUGUGUAGAGAUCGGGAGGAACACCGGUGGCGAAGGCGGGUCUCUGGGCAAUUCCUGACGCUGAGGCGCGAAAGCGUGGGGAGCAAACGGGAUUAGAUACCCCGGUAGUCCACGCUGUAAACGAUGACGACUAGGUGUGGGGGGGUUCAGUCCCUUCCGUGCCGCAGCUAACGCAUUAAGUCGUCCGCCUGGGGAGUACGGCCGCAAGGUUGA
rnacentral:rRNA from 1 species